rnacentral:rRNA from 1 species
AGCGAACGCUGGCGGCAGGCCUAACACAUGCAAGUCGAACGAACCCUUCGGGGUUAGUGGCGGACGGGUGAGUAACACGUGGGAACGCGCCUUUAGGCUCGGAAUAACUCAGGGAAACUUGUGCUAAUAACGAAUGUGCACCUCGGGGGAAAGAUUUAUCGCCUUUAGAGCGGCCCGCGUCUGAUUAGCUAGUUGGUGAGGUAAUGGCUCACCAAGGCUACGAUCAGUAGCUGGUCUGAGAGGAUGACCAGCCACAUUGGGACUGAGACACGGCCCAAACUCCUACGGGAGGCAGCAGUGGGGAAUCUUGCGCAAUGGGCGAAAGCCUGACGCAGCCAUGCCGCGUGGAUGAUGAAGGUCUUAGGAUUGUAAAGCUCUUUUACCAGGGAUGAUAAUGACAGUACCUGGAGAAUAAGCUCCGGCUAACUCCGUGCCAGCCGCCGCAGUAAUAC